rnacentral:rRNA from 1 species
AUUGAACGCUGGCGGCGUGCUUAACACAUGCAAGUCGAUCGGGUAACAGGUGUAGCAAUACAUGCUGACGAGAGGCGGACGGGUGAGUAAUGCUUGGGAAUCUGCCUAUUAGUGGGGGACAACCCGGGGAAACGUCGGGCUAAUACCGCAUACGCUCUACGGAGGAAAGCCGGGGACCGCAAGGCCUGGCGCUAAUAGAUGAGCCCAAGUCGGAUUAGCUAGUUGGUAGGGUAACGGCCUACCAAGGCGACAAUCCGUAGCUGGUCUGAGAGGACGACCAGCCACACCGGAACUGAGACACGGUCCGGACUCCUACGGGAGGCAGCAGUGGGGAAUAUUGGACAAUGGGGGCAACCCUGAUCCAGCGACGCCGCGUGGGUGAAGAAGGCCUGCGGGUUGUAAAGCCCUUUCGGGUGGGGAAGAAAAGUCUCGACCUAAUACGUCGGGACCUUGACGUAACCCACUAAAGAAGCACCGGCUAACUCUGUGCCAGCAGCCGCAGUAAC